rnacentral:sRNA from 1 species
CAUGAAAGAAGAACAAAU